rnacentral:rRNA from 1 species
GCUCAGAAACUUAAAGGAAGUUGACGGGGCCCGCACAAGCGGUGGAGCAUGUGGUUAAUUCGAAGCAACGCGAAGAACCUUACCAGGCCUUGACAUGCAGAGAACUUUCCAGAGAUGGAUUGGUGCCUUCGGGAACUCUGACACAGGUGCUGCAUGGCUGUCGCCAGCUCGUGUCGUGAGAUGUUGGGUUAAGUCCCGUAACGAGCGCGACCCUUGUCCUUAGUUACCAGCACGUUAUGGUGGGCACUCUAAGGAGACUGCCGGUGACAAACCGGAGGAAGGUGGGGAUGACGUCAAGUCAUCAUGGCCCUUACGGCCUGGGCUACACACGUGCUACAAUGGUCGGUACAAAGGGUUGCCAAGCCGCGAGGUGGAGCUAAUCCCAUAAAACCGAUCGUAGUCCGGAUCGCAGUCUGCAACUCGACUGCGUGAAGUCGGAAUCGCUAGUAAUCGUGAAUCAGAAUGUCACGGUGAAUACGUUCCCGGGCCUU